rnacentral:sRNA from 1 species
GCUGGGUGUGAUGGCUCAUGCCUGUAAUCCUAGCACUUUGGGAGGCUGAGGCAGGAGGAUCACUUGAGCCCAGGAGUUGAAGACUGACCUGGGCAACAUAGUAAGACUCUGUCUCUACAAAAAAUAAAAAAUUAGCUGGGCAUAGUGGCAUGUGCCUGUAGUCCCAGCUACUGGGGAGGCUAAGGUGAGAGAAUCACUUGAGCCCAGGAGGCCAAGGCUGUGGUGAACAGUGAUCAUGCCAUUGCAUUCCAGCCUGGGCAACAGAGUGAGCCCCUGUCUCU